rnacentral:rRNA from 1 species
UACGGGGGGGGCAAGCGUUGUUCGGAAUUACUGGGCGUAAAGGGCUCGUAGGUGGCCAACUAAGUCAGACGUGAAAUCCCUCGGCUUAACCGGGGAACUGCGUCCGAUACUGGAUGGCUUGAGUAUGGGAGAGGGAUGCGGAAUUCCAGGUGUAGCGGUGAAAUGCGUAGAUAUCUGGAGGAACACCGGUGGCGAAGGCGGCAUCCUGGACCAUUACUGACGCUGAGGAGCGAAAGCGUGGGGAGCAAACAGG